AUUGAACGCUGGCGGCAGGCCUAACACAUGCAAGUCGAACGAGUGGCGGACGGGUGAGUAAUGUCUGGGAAACUGCCUGAUGGAGGGGGAUAACUACUGGAAACGGUAGCUAAUACCGCAUACCAUCAGAUGUGCCCAGAGGGGAUUGGCUAGUUGGUGGGGUAACGGCUCACCAAGGCGACGAGCCCUAGCUGGUCUGAGAGGAUGACCAGCCACACGGGAACGGAGAAACGGUCCAGACUCCUACGGGAGGCAGAAGGGGGAAAUAGUGCACAAUGGGCGCAAGCUGGAUGCAGCCAGGCCGCGGGUAUGAAGAAGGCCUUCGGGUGGUAAAGUACUUUCAGCGGGGAGGCGUUACCCGCAGAAGAAGCACCGGCUAACUCCGUGCCAGCAGCCGCGGUAAUAC
rnacentral:rRNA from 1 species